rnacentral:rRNA from 1 species
CCAGACUCCUACGGGAGGCAGCAGUGGGGAAUAUUGCGCAAUGGGGGAAACCCUGACGCAGCAACGCCGCGUGAGUGAGGAAGUAUCUCGGUAUGUAAAGCUCUAUCAGCGGGGAAGAAGGAAGACGGUACCCGACUAAGAAGCCCCGGCUAACUACGUGCCGGCAGCCGCGGUAAUACGUAGGGGGCAAGCGUUAUCCGGAAUUACUGGGUGUAAAGGGAGCGCAGACGGCAGUGCAAGUCUGGAGUGAAAGCCCGUGGCUUAACCACGGGACUGCUCUGGAAACUGUGCAGCUAGAGUGCAGGAGAGGCAGGCGGAAUUCCUAGUGUAGCGGUGAAAUGCGUAGAUAUUAGGAGGAACACCGGUGGCGAAGGCGGCCUGCUGGACUGUAACUGACGUUGAGGCUCGAAAGCGUGGGGAGCAAACAGGAUUAGAUACCCCCGUA